rnacentral:rRNA from 1 species
AGUGAACGCUGGCGGUAGGCCUAACACAUGCAAGUCGAACGGCAGCACAGUAAGAGCUUGCUCUUACGGGUGGCGAGUGGCGGACGGGUGAGGAAUACAUCGGAAUCUACUUUUUCGUGGGGGAUAACGUAGGGAAACUUACGCUAAUACCGCAUACGACCUACGGGUGAAAGCAGGGGAUCUUCGGACCUUGCGCGAUUGAAUGAGCCGAUGUCGGAUUAGCUAGUUGGCGGGGUAAAGGCCCACCAAGGCAACGAUCCGUAGCUGGUCUGAGAGGAUGAUCAGCCACACUGGAACUGAGACACGGUCCAGACUCCUACGGGAGGCAGCAGUGGGGAAUAUUGGACAAUGGGCGCAAGCCUGAUCCAGCCAUACCGCGUGGGUGAAGAAGGCCUUCGGGUUGUAAAGCCCUUUUGUUGGGAAAGAAAAGCAGCAGGUUAAUACCCCGCUGUUCUGACGGUACCCAAAGAACAAGCACCGGCUAACUUCGUG